GGUUAAGCGACUAAGCGUACACGGUGGAUGCCCUGGCAGUCAGAGGCGAUGAAGGACGUGCUAAUCUGCGAUAAGCGUCGGUAAGGUGAUAUGAACCGUUAUAACCGGCGAUUUCCGAAUGGGGAAACCCAGUGUGAUUCGUCACACUAUCAUUAACUGAAUCCAUAGGUUAAUGAGGCGAACCGGGGGAACUGAAACAUCUAAGUACCCCGAGGAAAAGAAAUCAACCGAGAUUCCCCCAGUAGCGGCGAGCGAACGGGGAGCAGCCCAGAGCCUGAAUCAGUGUGUGUGUUAGUGGAAGCGUCUGGAAAGGCGCGCGAUACAGGGUGACAGCCCCGUACACAAAAAUGCACAUACUGUGAGCUCGAUGAGUAGGGCGGGACACGUGGUAUCCUGUCUGAAUAUGGGGGGACCAUCCUCCAAGGCUAAAUACUCCUGACUGACCGAUAGUGAACCAGUACCGUGAGGGAAAGGCGAAAAGAACCCCGGCGAGGGGAGUGAAAAAGAACCUGAAACCGUGUACGUACAAGCAGUGGGAGCACGCUUCGGCGUGUGACUGCGUACCUUUUGUAUAAUGGGUCAGCGACUUAUAUUCUGUAGCAAGGUUAACCGAAUAGGGGAGCCGAAGGGAAACCGAGUCUUAACUGGGCGUUAAGUUGCAGGGUAUAGACCCGAAACCCGGUGAUCUAGCCAUGGGCAGGUUGAAGGUUGGGUAACACUAACUGGAGGACCGAACCGACUAAUGUUGAAAAAUUAGCGGAUGACUUGUGGCUGGGGGUGAAAGGCCAAUCAAACCGGGAGAUAGCUGGUUCUCCCCGAAAGCUAUUUAGGUAGCGCCUCGUGAAUUCAUCUCCGGGGGUAGAGCACUGUUUCGGCAAGGGGGUCAUCCCGACUUACCAACCCGAUGCAAACUGCGAAUACCGGAGAAUGUUAUCACGGGAGACACACGGCGGGUGCUAACGUCCGUCGUGAAGAGGGAAACAACCCAGACCGCCAGCUAAGGUCCCAAAGUCAUGGUUAAGUGGGAAACGAUGUGGGAAGGCCCAGACAGCCAGGAUGUUGGCUUAGAAGCAGCCAUCAUUUAAAGAAAGCGUAAUAGCUCACUGGUCGAGUCGGCCUGCGCGGAAGAUGUAACGGGGCUAAACCAUGCACCGAAGCUGCGGCAGCGACACUAUGUGUUGUUGGGUAGGGGAGCGUUCUGUAAGCCUGUGAAGGUGGCCUGUGAGGGUUGCUGGAGGUAUCAGAAGUGCGAAUGCUGACAUAAGUAACGAUAAAGCGGGUGAAAAGCCCGCUCGCCGGAAGACCAAGGGUUCCUGUCCAACGUUAAUCGGGGCAGGGUGAGUCGACCCCUAAGGCGAGGCCGAAAGGCGUAGUCGAUGGGAAACAGGUUAAUAUUCCUGUACUUGGUGUUACUGCGAAGGGGGGACGGAGAAGGCUAUGUUGGCCGGGCGACGGUUGUCCCGGUUUAAGCGUGUAGGCUGGUUUUCCAGGCAAAUCCGGAAAAUCAAGGCUGAGGCGUGAUGACGAGGCACUACGGUGCUGAAGCAACAAAUGCCCUGCUUCCAGGAAAAGCCUCUAAGCAUCAGGUAACAUCAAAUCGUACCCCAAACCGACACAGGUGGUCAGGUAGAGAAUACCAAGGCGCUUGAGAGAACUCGGGUGAAGGAACUAGGCAAAAUGGUGCCGUAACUUCGGGAGAAGGCACGCUGAUAUGUAGGUGAAGCGACUUGCUCGUGGAGCUGAAAUCAGUCGAAGAUACCAGCUGGCUGCAACUGUUUAUUAAAAACACAGCACUGUGCAAACACGAAAGUGGACGUAUACGGUGUGACGCCUGCCCGGUGCCGGAAGGUUAAUUGAUGGGGUUAGCG
rnacentral:rRNA from 1 species